AUUGAACGCUGGCGGCAUGCCUUACACAUGCAAGUCGAACGGCAGCGCGGGCUUCGGCCUGGCGGCGAGUGGCGAACGGGUGAGUAAUGCAUCGGAACGUGCCCUGGAGUGGGGGAUAACUAGUCGAAAGAUUAGCUAAUACCGCAUACGAUCUACGGAUGAAAGUGGGGGACCGCAAGGCCUCAUGCUCCUGGAGCGGCCGAUGUCUGAUUAGCUAGUUGGUGGGGUAAAAGCCUACCAAGGCGACGAUCAGUAGCUGGUCUGAGAGGACGACCAGCCACACUGGGACUGAGACACGGCCCAGACUCCUACGGGAGGCAGCAGUGGGGAAUUUUGGGACAAUGGGGGAAACCCUGAUCCAGCAAUGCCGCGUGUGUGAAGAAGGCCUCGG
rnacentral:rRNA from 1 species